rnacentral:misc_RNA from 1 species
GAUGAAGAACGCAGCGAAAUGCGAUAAGUAGUGUGAAUUGCAGAAUUCAGUGAAUCAUCGAAUCUUUGAACGCACAUUGCGCCCCUUGGUAUUCCAUGGGGCAUGCCUGUUCGAGCGUCAUUUGUACCCUCAAGCUUUGCUUGGUGUUGGGUGUUUGUCCUCUCCUUUGUGUUUGGACUCGCCUUAAAGCAAUUGGCAGCCAGUGUUUUGGUAUUGAAGCGCAGCACAAUUUGCGAUUUGAGCCUAUAAUACUAACGUCCAUGAAGCCUUUUUUUCACUUUUGACCUCGGAUCAGGUAGGGAUACCCGCUGAACUUAAGCAUAUCAAUGAGCGGAGGA